UUGGAACUGCCAUCAAAACUUUUUAGCUAGAGUGUGAUAGAGGUAAGUGGAAUUUCUAGUGUAGAGGUGAAAUUCGUAGAUAUUAGAAAGAACACCAAAUGCGAAGGCAACUUACUGGGUCACUACUGACACUGAGGAGCGAAAGCAUGGGUAGCGAAGAGGAUUAGAUACCCUCGUAGUCCAUGCCGUAAACGAUGUGUGCUAGACGUUGGAAAUAUAUUUUUCAGUGUCGCAGCGAAAGCAUUAAGCACACCGCCUGGGGAGUACGACCGCAAGGUUAAAACUCAAAUGAAUUGACGGGGACCCGCACAAGCAGUGGAGCAUGUGGUUUAAUUCGAAGAUACGCGCAGAACCUUACCAACACUUGACAUGUUCGUCGCGACUUUAAGAGAUUAAAGUUUUCGGUUCGGCCGGACGAAACACAGGUGCUGCAUGGCUGUCGUCAGCUCGUGUCGUGAGAUGUUGGGUUAAGUCCCGCAACGAGCGCAACCCUCACUUUUAGUUGCCAUCAUUAAGUUGGGCACUCUGAAAGAACUGCCAGUGAUAAGCUGGAGGAAGGUGGGGAUGACGUCAAGUCCUCAUGGCCCUUACGUGUUGGGCUACACACGUGCUACAAUGGCAUUUACAAUAGGAAGCAAGAUGGCGACGUCAAGCAAAUCCUAAAAAGAUGCCUCAGUUCGGAUUGUACUCUGCAACUCGAGUACAUGAAGCUGGAAUUACUAGUAAUCGCGGAUCAGCGCGCCGCGGUGAAUACGUUCCCGGGUCUUGUACACACCGCCCGUCACACCAUGGGAGUUGGUUCUACCUUAAGGCAAGGUUUUAAACCCUUGACUACGGUAUAGUCAGCGACUGGGGUGAAGUCGUAACAAGGUAACC
rnacentral:rRNA from 1 species